GUGAAUCAUCAAAUCUUUGAACGCAAAUUGCACUUUCUGGUAUUCCGGAAAGUAUGCCUGUUUGAGGGUCAGUUAAAUAAACAUCGGUGUUGUUGUUGUUUUUAGUGGUGACGGGUCGGAAUUGAGUUGUCUUAGCUUCGGUUAAGUGUCUUAAAAUUUUGCAUGAUUUUCGAACGUAUUUAAAUUUCUUAAGUAUGUUUAGGAUAUCGAAUACUUUAUUAGGUUCGGUCAUCCUCAUGAUUCGCAUCUCUAAUUUUUCUUUAAAUGACCUCAAUUUAGGUAAGGAUACUU
rnacentral:misc_RNA from 1 species